rnacentral:rRNA from 1 species
UACGUAGGGUGCAAGCGUUGUCCGGAUUUAUUGGGCGUAAAGAGCUCGUAGGCGGCUUGGCAAGUCAGGUGUGAAAACUUCAGGCUCAACCUGGAGAUGCCACCUGAUACUGCUAUGGCUAGAGUCCGGUAGGGGACCACGGAAUUCCUGGUGUAGCGGUGAAAUGCGCAGAUAAUCAGGAGGAACACCGGUGGCGAAGGCGGUGGUCUGGG